AGCCUUGGGACAUUGCUCUCCACAUCCCAGCUGCUCCAGCUCCAGCUCCAGCCCUGGCUUAAAGGCGCCCAUGUACAGUUCAAGCUGCCACUUCAGAAAAUGCAAGCUGUAAGCCUUGGUGGCUUCCAUGUGGUGUUAAGCCUGCAGGCUCAUAGGUGGAAAGGAUUUGCCUUGUCUCUGAUGAGACUAUGGACUUUUGAGGCUCCACUGACAGAGCAGAGAAGAGGAGAAGCAGCUGGACAUAAGAGACUACAGUUUGAUGUUGGAGAGGGGCAGCUUGACUUCAGAGGGAUGGCUUGACCGCAUUGCUUCAGACAGGAGUCUGGCCAGGGAUGGCCAAAUUCUGUGGGAAGAUCACCUUCCUGCUCCAUUACCUUUCCACUGAGAGCCACUUUCAUCAGCAAUAAAAUCCUCCACAUGUA